CUCACAUAGCGGUUGGACUCAUAUAGACAUAAUAAAUACCUAGACGCCUCAUUGGCCGCUUUGAGCCGUUGCUGCGAUAUGUCAACGCGUCCGCCAUGUUUGUGAAGGCAAGACUGCCUUAAAAAUAAAUGGAGGUAAACGGGGGAGCUGCGUUUUUUUCUGGAUAAAAACACGAUAACGUUUACAUUUAUCAACCGAUUUCAGAGGUUUGUGAUCUACAUGG